GAUGAACGCUGGCGGCGUGCCUAAUACAUGCAAGUCGAGCGAACAGACGAGGAGCUUGCUCCUCUGACGUUAGCGGCGGACGGGUGAGUAACACGUGGAUAACCUACCUAUAAGACUGGGAUAACUUCGGGAAACCGGAGCUAAUACCGGAUAAUAUAUUGAACCGCAUGGUUCAAUAGUGAAAGACGGAUUUGCUGUAACUUAUAGAUGAAUCCGCGCCGCAUUAGCUAGUUGGUAAGGUAACGGCUUACCAAGGCAACGAUGCUAAGCCGACCUGAGAGGGUGAUCGGCCACACUGGAACUGAGACACGGUCCAGACUCCUACGGGAGGCAGCAGUAGGGAAUCUUCCGCAAUGGGCGAAAGCCUGACGGAGCAACGCCGCGUGAGUGAUGAAGGUCUUCGGAUCGUAAAACUCUGUUAUUAGGGAAGAACAAAUGUGUAAGUAACUAUGCACGUCUUGACGGUACCUAAUCAGAAAGCCACGGCUAACUACGUG
rnacentral:rRNA from 1 species